rnacentral:rRNA from 1 species
CUACGUGCCAGCAGCCGCGGUAAUACGGAGGGUGCGAGCGUUAAUCGGAAUAACUGGGCGUAAAGGGCACGCAGGCGGUGACUUAAGUGAGGUGUGAAAGCCCCGGGCUUAACCUGGGAAUUGCAUUUCAUACUGGGUCGCUAGAGUACUUUAGGGAGGGGUAGAAUUCCACGUGUAGCGGUGAAAUGCGUAGAGAUGUGGAGGAAUACCGAAGGCGAAGGCAGCCCCUUGGGAAAGUACUGACGCUCAUGUGCGAAAGCGUGGGGAGCAAACAGGAUUAGAUACCCUGGUAGUCCACGCUGUAAACGAUGUCGAUUUGGGGGUUGAACUUUGUGUUUGGCGCCCGUAGCUAACGUGAUAAAUCGACCGCCUGGGGAGUACGGCCGCAAGGUUAAAACUCAAAUGAAUUGACGGGGGCCCGCACAAGCGGUGGAGCAUGUGGUUUAAUUCGAUGCAACGCGAAGAACCUUACCUACUCUUGACAUCCAGAGAACAUUC